GAUGAACGCUAGCUACAGGCUUAACACAUGCAAGUCGAGGGACCGGCGCACGGGUGAGUAACACGUAUCCAACCUGCCCUUUACUCGGGGAUAGCCUUUCGAAAGAACGAUUAAUACCCGAUAUAAAGGAUGGGGAUGCGUUCCAUUAGGUUGUUGGUAAGGUAACGGCUCACCAAGCCUUCGAUGGAUAGGUGUGCUGAGUGGAAGGUCCCCUAGAAUUGAACGGAGGCACGGUCCAAACGCCUACGGGAGGCAGCAGUGAGGAAUAUUGGGCAAUGGGGGCUAGUCUGAACCAGCCGAGUAGCGGGAAGGAUGAAGGGUUAUGGGUCGUAAACUUCUGUGAUGUAAGAAUAUGUAUUAUAUGAAUAAGGAUCGGCUAACUCCGUGCCAGCAGCCGCGGUAAUAC
rnacentral:rRNA from 1 species